rnacentral:lncRNA from 1 species
CCGCCAGAACUCCUGGGACUUGUUCUCAAGCGCCUCCCUUCCCUAGCUGACCGUGUUCAUUUGAGAGCUGUCUGCCACCCAUGGCGCUCUAAUAGCAGGUUGCAGACCCUUCCUCUCCCAUUCCUGUGGCUCACUCUCCCUGAUGGCACCUUCCUCAGCAUUCCAAGCGGUGAAAUUCACCACAUAUCUUUACCGGAAGGUGUGUCUUGCCAGGGCUCCAUUGACAACUUGCUAUUCCUCAUGCACAAUGAUGGUGUGUGCUACUUGAUGAACCCUUUCUCCAAGACCAGGUUGCAGCUUCCUAAGCUAGCAAAGGUAUGGAAGCGUGAGAUAUAUGAUCCCGAACCCCGAAUUAACCCAAUUUUCCACAACUUGGUGGUGCCCUUUUCACUUGACUCGUCACCCUGUUCCCUACUUGGUGCACUGAUCAUGGAUGAUGGUAACUGGGGUACACUUUGUAUUAGUCAACCACCGAUUGUCACUGACUCAUUCAGAGAUGAUAAGCAUCCAGCAAAGCUCCUCUGUAGUGUUGCGUUCUUUGAUGGCAAGCUGUACGGGCUGGGGGGGGGGUUUGACCAACUAUUCAUCUUUGAAUUAGACAAGGACCUUGGUAUUUCAUCCAUGGAGUGUAUAAUUGACUAUGGGUGAGUUAGGUGGAAUACCUCAAUCGUUGUCGGAAGAGAAGGCGUAUAUGAUAAGGGGGUAUCUAGUUGAAUGUGGCGAUAGACUGUUGAUGGUGAAACGGUGGAUUCAUCCUAUUGCCCGUUCAACAAGUGAUGACUUUUUCGAGCAUAACCGUACUGUUGCACUUGGGGCUUUUGAGGCAGAUUUGGGCACCGAUCCAGCUGGAUGGAGAACAGUAAAUGAUUUGGAUGGCCAUGCGCUCUUUCUUGGCCAGCAUAGCUCCAAGUCCCUGCGCGCUGGAGAAUGCAGUGGAUACCAAGAGGACUGCAUCUACUUCAUGUGUGACUAUUCCUGGCCAAAGCAUUCUGCAAAUCCUCUUCGUGAUGCCGGUGUUUAUAACAUUAGGAAUCAGACAUUCAUGCCACUGAUGUCGGGGACUGCAGCGGUACCGCCACGUCAUGCUGUCCAGUGGCGUCCGACAUGGUUUUUCCCUCCUGAAGCUGUGUGACCAAGCCUCUUAAUCACUGAUCCUCAGAGUAAUUGUUGGAUAAUGUAUCUGAGAUGGAAGUUGGAAGGGCUUCGUCCUCACAGCGACAGGUGAGUUGUUGAUGGAUGGUAGAGAUUCGUAGUGUUAGUUUCUGUGUUGGUAGGCUGGUAGGUUCAGUUUGAUGAGUGAUGUGUUCUACCUGGUGGCUGUUGUUCUGUCUUGUGGUGGCUGAACUUAGUGAUCCUGUCCUAGUGUAGCGUUGUAACUGCUGUUGCCUGAACUUUUAAACGCGGGCCGCUGUAUCAUUAGUUUUAUUUUAAUUAAAUUGGAGGGUGUGUUCUCCUUUCAUCAAAAUUUUCUUGUAUGAUGUUAGAUUCUGUAUUAGUAUGAUGAUAGAGAUGUUUUGCAUUUUCAAGUAUUAUGGAUGAUUUGUUUUUGCUGGUAUUAUGGAUGAUUUUUAACAGGAUGCAUUGUAAUGCGCAAGUCUUUUGCUGUGAUAUAAGACUAAAGGCAUCUCUCACAGAAUCUUUAAAUUUUGUAACUCCUCAUGUUGGCAUCAUUUGGGGAGUCAAACCGUAGCUAACGGAAGCCCUAUAACUAUAACUCCUCAAAAUUUUGAGUUAACCCUAUGCCUUCUCUGCUCAAAUUUGAGCACGUCAUACCCAUUCUCCUCAAAUCUCCUCUCAUCGAGAAAAUGGCUCAACCGGCGGCAAGAUGCCAAACUGAACCAGCCCACGCCAGUAUAAACCCCGUCGGUGCCACACCAAACCCUAAAUCCUUCUUGGCCGCCCUAUUUCUCCCAAAUCACCGUCGCCACCACCCAAUUUUGUCAUCACUGUUCGAAUGGCCAUGGCUCGCUGCCUGCAGCGGGUAGAGCAGUGGGGUGUUGCUGUGCCGGAUGUCAUCCUCGGAUGAUGACUACAAUGACGAGCCAGAGGCGGUGCAGCUCGCAGUAGCCAUGGCCGAGGAAGCCGAUGAAGAGGAGGAGGGGGGCGAUGAAGAGGAGGAGGGGCAAGGUGAUGGAGGAGGAUGAGCAGUCGACGAAGGAAGCCGUGCACGAGGACGGCGCCUACGACCACACCUACCUCCCUUCAAGGGAGGAGGCGGAGCAGAUCAAUACAACAGUUUUCGGUGUGCACUUUGGUAGCUUUGUAGGCGCUCGAGUACCUAGUUCGGUGUGUUAGCCUUCCGUCGCUUUGUAUGUAUUGUGGUGCUUUAGGUCUAAUCUAGCUAGCCUUUGUUUUAGGUUUUUGCCCGGUUUUCCUCCGAAACCGAGCAGCCUCUUUGUUUUUUACACAUGUCUUUAUGCGAUGCAUUAUCUCUCCGAGGUCUUCUUGUAAUAUCCUUUUUUAAUCAAUGGAUUUGACAGUUCUCCUGUCAACAUUAUAAAAUGAUAAGGUUCAAAAAAAAAUAUAAAAUGAUAUCGAAGAUGGGCAUGUAAAUUUGUUCCCAAGAUUCCUAAAUGUUUGAAAGGCUUUUCUAGUUAUCGUUUUAAGAGCAACACUAGCAGACCCCUUAUACUCGAGAACUGUAAACGCGAUAUAAGGGUCAAGAAAGCAGGGACCCGACAAGGUAGUCCUUCGUCCCGAUGACGCCGCGGCCGCCCGGGCGCUCCUCCCCCGGCUCGAUCUUGACGGGGAGGAGGUCGCCAGAGUCCCUCUCCCUCUUCACGGGCAGCAGCCCCGCAUCGGAAGUGCUCCCCGCGCCCGAAGAGCUCCCCGCGUCGGAGUGCCUCGCAUGGCGGAGGUCGUACUCCUCCGUCUUGCGGCGGAGGAGGGAGCCAGCAACCCAUACCUGGUGUACCGCUUGACCGCGCGCUUGCGCGCCGCGUCGGAGGUGAAGCAAUCUUUGCGCUCCGGGUCAUCGCCGCCACCGCGCCGGCCAGAGCUCCACAUCGUCGCGGAUGGGGGAAGGGGGGCUGAUUUCUCACCGACGAUGAGAAACGGAGUGCGGAAUGGGUGAGACGCGGCGGUGGAGGAUAGGGCUUCGGCCUGUAUCGGACGGCAAACCUGUAAAUANNNNNNNNNNNNNNNNNNNNNNNNNNNNNNNNNNNNNNNNNNNNNNNNNNNNNNNNNNGGGCGAUUUGUGGGCCACCGUAAAAAAAAUUACGGGCUGGGCGGCUAUAUGGGCUCUGGUCUGACCCAAAAACCGGAUCAAACUCGUAUAGUCGCCGGAGUUUUACCAUUUGUGCGUUUAUACGGGUUUGCUAGAGUUGCUGUGAGCAGUGUCUCACUCUGUACUCUUCCCAUCGGGCUUCCCCGGUUCUCUCCCCUCCCAUGGUCAGGUUCCAAUCCCUACUUCUCUGGCGAUUUGAGACUUGCGUGUGACUAGCAGCCUCCCGCCCCACCUCAUCCGCUGGAGGCCGAAUCUGUUCCCCGCCAUCCACCGGCUCGCCGACGAGGCAACAAGACUCAGCAGUAAGCUGUAAGCCCUACCACCUUCGCACUCUCCAUCUUGUCAGGGGUUUCUUCCAGUAGAUCGGGCUGGGCGGACUGAUGCUUUGCCUGCCCACCAUUGUUUCUUCUAGUAGAUCUAUGCUUGGUGGGUUUUUUUACCUGGUGUGAACUAGAAAUGUUCAGGAAUGUUUGGCUCUGAUGCGGACCUCUCAAUAUCUCACACUCUCCCGUUCUUGAAGAAAAUAUAAAAUGGCACCUCUUUUGCAAAUCCCUAUUUGUUUUUCUACCAAAAUUGUUUCAGUUAAUGAGUAGAUCUAUGCCUGGUAGAAAUGUGUAUGAAUUUAUUAUACACUAAAGGAAGGAACACCUGUCGCUCUUGGUUCUGAUGCAACGCAUAUCACUCUUUCAGCGGACACCUCUUUCAGUGGCGGAGCCAGAAAAAUAGGAUGAGGAGGGCCGAGUAUUGUUCAACCUUGUUGGGGUGGGCCAAUCCAUCAAAAACACCCAUUUUAGGGGAAAAAAAUCACUGCUACUAUUCAUCUAUUAGGCCUAAAUCACAGAUGUUACUUUGGCUAACCAAAAUUUGUUUUCUUUUAGUCUAUGCUUGGUAAUAAGUUGAUGUAAAACAGCAAAUAUUCGUUCAGUACUACACUUUCCUGUGAUGCCCAGCCAUUGUUUCAGGCUUUCAGCUUGUACUUGAAUAAGAUGUCACUUCUUUUUCUCUACAUAAUUUUACUUAAUAGACCCGCCUUUUCUUCUAAAUAAAAUGAAAAUGGAGUAAGUGCAGUGACUGGGUCAUUGCCGCUGGGAUAUAGCACAUGAGACAUUGGGAACACUGCUCUCUCAUAGUUAGUAUACUAAUGAUGCUGAUUUGGUGUUUCUAGUCAGAGGAAGAGAAUCAAUGAAUCUUGAAAAAUGAGUGCCUAGUACACUAUCUAAUCUUCCUUGGAGUUAAUACUUAUGAAUUAUGAUGCCAACAAAAUGGUGCUUAUUGUACUGUUUCCUGCAAACUGUUGUUACCAAGUGCAAUGAGCAUAUAUGCAUAGAGCAAGGCUAAAGUGACUCGGCAAAUGUACUUUCACUAGUUUAUUUCUGCAUGAUGUAUUUAUGGUUCCCCCGCAUCUUCAUAUUUUGAUGAUACUUUGAACUUCUGCAGCUUUCUUUUCAAAUAGAGCUGACGAAAUUUAGCCUUAAAAUGGUACAUGAAGCAUAUGUAUUGCUAGUUGCAGUUUUAACUCUUUCUAAUUAUGAAUCAUAUGUCUUCUCUUGUAGAUUUGCAUGAUGGAGGCUGCGGAAUUUCGCCCUUGGUCAGAUCUUCCGCCAGAACUCCUGGGACUUGUUCUCAAGCGCCUCCCUUCCCUAGCUGACCGUGUUCGUUUGAGAGCUGUCUGCCACCCAUGGCGCUCUAAUAGCAGGUUGCAGACCCUUCCUCUCCCAUUCCCGUGGCUCACUCUCCCUGAUGGCACCCUCCUCGGCAUUCCAAGCGGUGAAAUUCACCACAUAUCUUUACCGGAAGGUGCGUGUUGCCAGGGCUCCAUUGACAACUUGCUAUUCC